UACGGAAGGGGCAAGCGUUGUUCGGAAUCAUUGGGCGUAAAGGGCGCGUAGGUGGCUCUGUAUGUCUGCCGUGAAAGCAUACAGCUCAACUGUAUUGUGUCGGUAGAAACUGCAGGACUUGAGGCUGGGAGGGGCUGGUGGAAUUCCCUGUCGUAGCGGUGAAAUGCGUAGAGAUGGGGGAGAACACUCGUGGCGAAGGCGGCCAGCUAGACCAGUUCUGACACUGAGGCGCGACAGCGUGGGGAGCAAACAGG
rnacentral:rRNA from 1 species